UCUCUCAGUAACUUGAAUGCAUUUUUUUUUUCAGAUUCAGACAUUCACACAGCUUGAAGAUGAUCUAAAAGAUGAAGAUGAGUCAUUGAGAGGCAGCAACAAAGUAAACAGAACAAAAGUUUCAGUCCCGGAUGGAAAUGGACCCUCAGUGGGGGAGAUUCCCCAGAGUGAACUCAUCUUGUAUUUAUCUGCUUGCAAAUUCCUGGACACGGCGCUUUCUUUUCCACCUGACAAGAUGCCAUUAUUUCAAAUUUACAGGUGGGG